ACCUCUGAUCAGAUGAUCUUAAAGCCUGAGAGGAACAGUAACGGUCCAUUAAAUUCUGAAAAUAUUCAGGGACUUGGCCCUGAAGUGCCCUGCAUGUCAGGACCAAUACUUUAAACUGUUAUAGACAAGGAGGCCAGUGCAACGAGGCUAAAACAGUAUAGAAUUCAUAUAAGAAUAAAGAGAAUCAGUCAACAUGGCUUUGCUAGUGAUGUCUCAGCGAAGCAUUAACAGCCAAGAAGCCUCCGCCUUUCCUCGUCGUGGAAAGCAUCUCUUAGCUACCUGACAAGUUCAAAUCUGGAUAGACCACCAGGGAACGUUGUCCUACUUCCUCUUCUUUAUGCUGCUCAUGAAGCUGAGUAUGUCUAAGAGAAAACCUGAAGAAAUAGAUCAACAGUAAACUCAAAGACUGCCACAGUGUCUCAACAAAACCAUGUUGCGUUCGGCAGAAACAACAGACUACAGCUACCCAUCACAAGGUUGGAGGAGGAAUUUGGGACCUCAUACACAAGAAAGGCACUACAUUACUGAGACUGCAGUAAUCCUUAAGUUUUAGUAACAAGCACUGCAGUGGUGAGAAGCAGGAAGAGAAGAGCUCAAAUGAGGAGACAUUUCUAAAGGGUCUGAGGUUGCAGGGGGGCAGAAGACCCUUGUUUGGCCGCAUCACACUCCCCGAGAGAAAUCAUUUGAAGGCCGUUCUACCGUGAGUGUCCACACACCUGCACACAGAUACCUCAA